rfam:Microdochium bolleyi strain J235TASD1 unplaced genomic scaffold Micbo1qcscaffold_6, whole genome shotgun sequence.
GCCCGCUAAGCAGAACGGUGAUGCGCCUCACUAGUAAUGAGGAGAUAACUGGUUCGACUCCAGUAGUGGGCA